CACAUACUCCCUCCGUCAUGAAUUAUUUGUCGCAGAAAUAAAUAUAUCUAGAUGUAUUUUUUAUUUUAGAUACAUUCGUUCCUAUCAUUUUUGCGACUAGUAAUUCGGGAAGGAGAGAGUAUAUC
rnacentral:pre_miRNA from 1 species